GGCCAGUUAGCACAGUUGGUUAGAGGGUGGUGCUAAAAACACCAAGGUUGCUGGUUCAAUCCCCGCAUGGGCCA